AGAGUUUGAUCCUGGCUCAGAUUGAACGCUGGCGGAACGCUUUACACAUGCAAGUCGAACGGUAACGCGGAGAGAAGCUUGCUUCUCCCCGGCGACGAGUGGCGAACGGGUGAGUAAUACAUCGGAACGUGUCCGCUCGUGGGGGACAACCAGCCGAAAGGUUGGCUAAUACCGCAUGAGUUCUACGGAAGAAAGAGGGGGACCCGCAAGGGCCUCUCGCGAGCGGAGCGGCCGAUGACUGAUUAGCCUGUUGGUGAGGUAACGGCUCACCAAAGCAACGAUCAGUAGCUGGUCUGAGAGGACGACCAGCCACACUGGGACUGAGACACGGCCCAGACUCCUACGGGAGGCAGCAGUGGGGAAUUUUGGACAAUGGGCGCAAGCCUGAUCCAGCUAUUCCGCGUGUGGGAUGAAGGCCCUCGGGUUGUAAACCACUUUUGUAGAGAACGAAAAGACACCUUCGAAUAAAGGGUGUUGCUGACGGUACUCUAAGAAUAAGCACCGGCUAACUACGUGCCAGCAGCCGCGGUAAUACGUAGGGUGCGAGCGUUAAUCGGAAUUACUGGGCGUAAAGGGUGCGCAGGCGGUUGAGUAAGACAGAUGUGAAAUCCCCGAGCUUAACUCGGGAAUGGCAUAUGUGACUGCUCGACUAGAGUGUGUCAGAGGGAGGUGGAAUUCCACGUGUAGCAGUGAAAUGCGUAGAUAUGUGGAAGAACACCGAUGGCGAAGGCAGCCUCCUGGGACAUAACUGACGCUCAGGCACGAAAGCGUGGGGAGCAAACAGGAUUAGAUACCCUGGUAGUCCACGCCCUAAACGAUGUUAACUAGUUGUUGGGAAGUAAUAUUCUCAGUAACGCAGCCAACGCGAGAAGUUAACCGCCUGGGAAGUACGGUCGCAAGACUAAAACUCAAAGGAAUUGACGGGGACCCGCACAAGCGGUGGAUGAUGUGGAUUAAUUCGAUGCAACGCGAAAAACCUUACCUACCCUUGACAUGUCAGGAAGCUCUUGUAAUGAGAGCGUGCCCGCAAGGGAGCCUGAACACAGGUGCUGCAUGGCUGUCGUCAGCUCGUGUCGUGAGAUGUUGGGUUAAGUCCCGCAA
rnacentral:rRNA from 1 species